rnacentral:rRNA from 1 species
AUACGGAGGAUCCGAGCGUUAUCCGGAUUUAUUGGGUUUAAAGGGUGCGUAGGCGGCCUUUUAAGUCAGCGGUGAAAGUCUGUGGCUCAACCAUAGAAUUGCCGUUGAAACUGGGGGGCUUGAGUAUGUUUGAGGCAGGCGGAAUGCGUGGGGUAGCGGUGAAAUGCAUAGAUUUUACGCAAAACCCCGAUUGGGAAGGCAGCCUGCCAAGCCAUGACUGACGCUGAUGCACGAAAGCGUGGGGAUCAAACAGGAUUAGAUACCCUGGUAGUCCACGCAGUAAACGAUGAUCACUAGCUGUUUGCGAUACACUGUAAGCGGCACAGCGAAAGCGUUAAGUGAUCCACCUGGGGAGUACGCCGGCAACGGUGAAACUCAAAGGAAUUGACGGGG